UCCGGUUUGUCACCGGCAGUCUCAUUAGAGUGCCCUUUCGUAGCAACUAAUGACAAGGGUUGCGCUCGUUGCGGGACUUAACCCAACAUCUCACGACACGAGCUGACGACAGCCAUGCAGCACCUGUGUUCCAGUUCUCUUGCGAGCACAGCCAAAUCUCUUCGGCCUUCCAGACAUGUCAAGGGUAGGUAAGGUUUUUCGCGUUGCAUCGAAUUAAUCCACAUAAUCCACCGCUUGUGCGGGUCCCCGUCAAUUCCUUUGAGUUUUAACCUUGCGGCCGUACUCCCCAGGCGGUCGACUUCACGCGUUAGCUUCGUUACUGAGAGUGUCAAACCCCCAACAACCAGUCGACAUCGUUUAGGGCGUGGACUAC
rnacentral:misc_RNA from 1 species